rnacentral:rRNA from 1 species
AGAGGGGGAUAACGAUUGGAAACGAUCGCUAAUACCGCAUGACAUAGCGGAACCGCAUGGUUUUGUUAUCAAAGAUUUUAUCGCUGAUAGAUGGGCUCGCGUCCGAUUAGAUAGUUGGUGGGGUAACGGCCUACCAAGUCGACGAUCGGUAGCCGGACUGAGAGGUCGAACGGCCACAUUGGGACUGAGACACGGCCCAGACUCCUACGGGAGGCAGCAGUGGGGGAUAUUGCACAAUGGGGGAAACCCUGAUGCAGCGACGCCGCGUGAGGGAAGACGGUCCUCUGGAUUGUAAACCUCUGUCUUCGGGGACGAAACGAGACGGUACCCGAAGAGGAAGCCAC